rnacentral:other from 1 species
AAGGCUGCUGUGCGACACGACAGGCAGCAAUGUCCCCGGGGCCGAUAAUUAGAACCUCUAGGGAGCUGUCCCUGUUCUGGCCGUGGCCAGAAUAUAUGGCGCCCACCUGCUUAUGCAGGCCGCGGAGGAAUGCACGCCACCGGUCGAUGCGGGGCCUUC